rnacentral:lncRNA from 1 species
GUGGCUCAGAGCUGCAGGAUCUCUUAAGUACCCCUUUGUCCAGUAGAAGAGAAAUUCUGACUCUAAUCAUCUGGUGGUAUUCGGGAUGGAUAGCAUCACCAUGUAUUUUCUUUUUAUGUUGCGUUUUCAGUUUACACUUGAAUUUUUCCAGGUGUUUUGCUGUCUUUACUUAUUUCUUUACUCUAAUUCAAUUUUUUGGUUUUAGCAGAUGAUUCUUAGAGGAGAAUAACCAGGAAAAGAUACUAAUGCACAGGGUGCUUGAUGUAAAUCAUGAGCAAGAAAACAUGCCAAGCGCCAAUGGAAAGACCCUCUAAGCCACGAGGAAGACCUGGCUAAGGUGAUCGACCUCCAGGAAGUCAUAGACAAGCAGGAGCAGAGCCAGAUGGAGGAGCGCCUGGCAGCCCUCUUUGCCCAUGUGACAGAGCUGAAGGAGGACCUGGACACGGCCAAGAAGGACCUCCUCAAGUCCGAGGAUGUGAACAGGAAACUGCAGCAGGAUGUCCACAAAGCGAGUCUGGUGACGUCUGUGGAGCCCGUUCUCUUGGAGAGAUGGGAGCAUGCUGUGUGGACUCUGCUGAGGCAGCUUGCCUGGCCAUCUUCUCGAGUUUUCUCAGGUUCCGCUCCUUGAAGGGAUGUGUGACAGUGAUACAGUCAGACAAGUCGAGUGAUGUUUGCUCACCCUCAGAUCUUCAGGCCCGAG